rnacentral:sRNA from 1 species
GAAACCAUCUUGGUCAUUCUCCUUAUGUUUGGUCAAACAUCUAAUCCGAUUGAUAAUUUAGGAUUUAAUACAAAUGAGCAAGUCUCUUUCGCCAAAACAUCCUUUCUACGAUUUAGAUUACGAGAGAUUAAAUUAAAAAUAUAAACAUCGAAAAAAAUAUAGAGAUUGGAUAUCAUGAAGAAUUUCUUGAAACUCCUUUCACUUGAAGCUUUUGAUUAAUUGCUUUGACAAGGAUUAGAAAGUCAGAAACA